AGUUAUAUUUGUGCCACAAUCCUGAGCGCACAGUGUGAAAUUUUGAGCACAGAAAACAAUUUUGAGCAAAGAAAAACUUAAUCUGAGCAAACAAAAAUCUAUUCUGCACUCAAAAAAUAUAUUUUUAUAUUUGCAACUAUCCACAUACACACACAGUCUUAAUGCUUUUCACUCGGUUUUUCACUCUGCUCUCCUGUGGAUCUCUGCUCUACGUCCUUGCUACGUCUCUCUCGCUCUCGCUCAACAUCUGCUCUCUGCACACGCUCAAAUCUGCCUUCACGCUCGCUCAACUCUGCACGGCGUUACAAAUGUGCCACAAUUCCAGCCAAUCACAGACUUCUGAUUCUAUCCAAUCGGGUCCCUGUUUCGGCCGCCUCUCGGAAGCGCUGUUAAAAACGAUCGCUAAAUCAACUGGAGUUCUGCUAUAUACGCUGGACUACGACAGAUUUUCGAAAGUCAGUCCUGCUUCCGCAACAAAACGAGGGAUUUAGCAGAUGUGCUAGCUAAACAGCAUGACAGAUCCAAAUAAUGACAACCCAAAUACUCCGCCACCAUGUCAGUUGAGGAGCUUGAACUCCUUCAAGCUGGCAUGGGAAGACAGACGGUGUCGCUGCCUGACAACAGUGACCAUGCAGAGGUCCUGGCUGAAACAUUCCCAAAAAUGGAAGAUCUUUAUGGGGGAUGGCUCUUGCAUAAAGCAACAGUGAACACUUUCAGGUUGAAUAUGUGGCUGAUGCACAGUCUCUGAUGUUGCUGGCUGAUGAAGUUAUAAACUGUGGAUACACAAGCCAGAUCAAGCUGGAUAAUAAACAAAACACCAUUCGUACUAUUGUCUUGCACUCUACCACAGACUGAUUCCAAUGCUUCAGCAAGUGAGAAAGGGCAUGGAACUGUAUGGUCUGCUCAGUCAGAUGGCUGCAAACCCUGAAGCUUGCCACACACUCUUUGUUCCUGGGAAGAUCAUCAAAAUGCUGAUUUCAUAAUGAUGAACUGCCGACCACAGCUCAGUGAAAAGGGGACAUCUCAGGAGACAACUGAAAGAUUAUAAACUUCAUGCUAGAUUUUUGCCAGGAGCUUGAAAUAUCAGUGCUGCAGUUGAGGAGCCCCACUCUCUUGGAGUUCAGCAUGUGCUCCAGUGGUUGACCGGGAAAGCCCACAUUCCCAUCCUCCCUGAUGAAAAGAGACAUUUCAAAAUAAUAUUCAUGUUUGACCACGACUGCAGGGAGCCACUUGGAGAUCACUCCAUUUGUUACCAAACUGUGAGUGCAUGCACUCGUACAGUAACUUUUCCAGUGCAGCCUCUCAACACUUACACUGAAUUCAGAAGACUUAUGAGUGAAGCAGUUAGAUAUGGUGGUGGCUUCCACAGAGUUUAACAGAAACAGCCCUCUGGUAAUCUGAAACAAAAAAUGAGAAGCUAUUUCUAAACAUUAACUGAUAGAAUAUGUUCAUAGCUAAUGAAAAAAGCAAAACAAUUGUUCCUGUUAGCUCAGUGUUUGACUUCCUCUUCAGUCAUACAGAUUCCCUUUUAUACAGGGUUCUCUUGCUUUUAUUAGUUAGAAAAGCUUCAAUAAUUUUUGUCACUGUGCUGGAAUAUUUGUUGACUUUCAAGUUCCUGUCCAAAUGUCUAUUGGUUGGACACCUGUUGUUAGAGCCUUAUGUAUAAGUGACGACCAUGUGACUCUGAAUGUUCCAGAGGGUUGAUAGUUCUCUGAAGUUCUUCCAGGGCUUCAUCAUCCAGUGGGCACUCAAAUUCAGGAACCACAACUGUGCCAUGAGAGUCUUCCUGCAGCACAGCACUCUGCCAGUCAACGCCUGGGUCCUGAAGGUCCUUCGAAUUCAGAACAUAUCAGUCAGGAAUGGAUACUUGUUGAAAUACAGUUUUGGUAUUUGUGUGAGUUUUUUUAAUAAUAAACACAACAUUACAAAAAGU